rnacentral:rRNA from 1 species
GACGAACGCUGGCGGCGUGCUUAACACAUGCAAGUCGAACGAAGAGCGAUGGAAGCUUGCUUCUAUCAAUCUUAGUGGCGAACGGGUGAGUAACGCGUAAUCAACCUGCCCUUCAGAGGGGGACAACAGUUGGAAACGACUGCUAAUACCGCAUACGAUCUAAUCUCGGCAUCGAGGAUAGAUGAAAGGUGGCCUCUACAUGUAAGCUAUCACUGAAGGAGGGGAUUGCGUCUGAUUAGCUAGUUGGAGGGGUAACGGCCCACCAAGGCGAUGAUCAGUAGCCGGUCUGAGAGGAUGAACGGCCACAUUGGGACUGAGACACGGCCCAGACUCCUACGGGAGGCAGCAGUGGGGAAUCUUCCGCAAUGGACGAAAGUCUGACGGAGCAACGCCGCGUGAGUGAUGACGGCCUUCGGGUUGUAAAGCUCUGUUAAUCGGGACGAAAGGCCUUCUUGCGAAUAGUGAGA